rnacentral:rRNA from 1 species
GAUGAACGCUGGCGGCGUGCUUAACACAUGCAAGUCGAGCGAGUGAGUUCUUCGGAACGAUCUAGCGGCGGACGGGUGAGUAACACGUGGGCAACCUGCCUCAUAGAGGGGAAUAGCCUUCCGAAAGGGAGAUUAAUACCGCAUAACAUCGUUGAAGGGCAUCCUUCGAUGAUCAAAGGAGCAAUCCGCUAUGAGAUGGGCCCGCGGCGCAUUAGCUAGUUGGUGAGGUAACGGCUCACCAAGGCGACGAUGCGUAGCCGACCUGAGAGGGUGAUUGGCCACAUUGGGACUGAGACACGGCCCAGACUCCUACGGGAGGCAGCAGUGGGGAAUAUUGCACAAUGGGGGAAACCCUGAUGCAGCAACGCCGCGUGAGUGAUGACGGCCUUCGGGUUGUAAAGCUCUGUCUUUGGGGACGAUAAUGACGGUACCCAAGGAGGAAGUCACGGCUAACUACGUGCCAGCAGCCGCGGUAA